GCUGACUAAACUGAAGUUAAGAGAACACGGGGCAGCAGGGCUCAAGUGCUGAAUAAGCGAGUUCCAAGGCAGCCGCCAGUGGACCGCUCGAGGUUAUGCAACACGUUCGCCUUUGACAACUGCACGGCGUGAUUGCGCCCAGAUCGCGAGCGCAAGGUCGACUCCGGGAGGAGUCUCUUCGUUGCGAUUCUCUUACGGAGACAAGUCAGUUUAGUGGAAUUCCCAUUGUCAUAUUAUCAGCUGAUUUGUUUUCGGCGCGAGUGUUGUUUGUGUUUUGUUCGUUGUUUUCUUGGCCUCAGUCAUUUUGAACGCGCGGCUUUUGCUUUAUUUCGUGUCAAUCGGAAUCGCAGUUUGGGAGAUUCGAUGCGUGUCCCGAUGGAAAUGUAUUCCUAAACAACUUUAUGUGUAGUGAAAAGCUAAACGGGUUCGCCAAAUAGUGCGUGAACCGCACACAGGGUGAUUAGUACCGAGUCCUUCCUAGAACUUCCUUGUUCAAUUAUGGGCACCCUAAUUGCUACUAUAUGUGCAUGUACCAGCUCGGUUUCCUCCCGGUGCCCUCAUUAGUGCAAUUUGAUGAUGUUGAGUUGACAGGAUUUCCUAAUUUUUAACAAAAGAGUGAAGGCCGUUUCAAUCUCGUUUAUUUGCCAAACAUCCAGCUGCGUGCCGCAGUCAGAAACAACAAAUCAUUGGACGCAGUGGAGUGAUCCAAAUUUACUUGGCUGAGGUUCGUGUUUCUGGCAAAGUGUAAGCAGUUGCACGUCUUCCAGACCAGACAGAAUGAAGUACUCCAUCUAUCACAGGAACAGAUAGUAUCGGCGGCAAUGUAGACCUAGCGAUCUCCAAACUGCACUUCGGAUUCUUCUGAAGUUUUACAGUUCAACUCACAUUUUGCCUCCUUCCGCGAUGGCCUCCUAUUUCCUUUCUGAUCACGCCACCGAAUGUUUUCUUCGAUCCCAUGGAAAGUGAACGCAGCGCGAUAGUCAGUAGCUUGGUGACAUGAUCAGUGCGGGGAAGUUUACUUUUCAAAUUUUGAAUGCAUUUAUUUGUAACCGUCAUGAAGCGUAAUAUACUUCCUUUACUAUC